CUGCUGUUCAGUGCCAGCUCUGGACACCUCUGAGGCAGCAGCAGCAGCAGCAUGUUGCGAGCACUGGGGGUCAUGGUCCUCACCCGCUGCCUCCUCCUCUUUCUGGUGGCCCUGCAAGCCCAGGAUGCCCAGUCUGCUCCAAUGCAAGGGCAGGGAGCAGAUGUGGCCAAAGGAAGGCAUCUUCCAGCUCCUGAGCCAGAUUCCAUGUUGAUUCCAAGCUGGUAUCUCAAGGAGAUGGAACCUAAGGCUGUGCAGAAGGAGACCUUCCAGAUGGGAGAAAGAGACAGAGUGCCAGUCUCAGGGGAAGAAGGAGAGGCAAUACAAGGCACCAGGACACCUGUUGAGCUCCAGAAACGUCCUUUAAGUGAGUGCUCAGGAGAUGCUGGUGUUUGAAAAGAGGAGUAUUUCUGGUGUAUCCCUGCAGCACUCUCCAAGGAUGAACUGCAGGUCCCCAGCACACAGCCCUGGCCUGCAGCCUGAAGGAACAAACUGGGCAGUGCUGGUGCAGGCUCUUCUCCAGGAGAACCUUAAA
rnacentral:lncRNA from 1 species